rnacentral:rRNA from 1 species
UACGUAGGUCCCGAGCGUUGUCCGGAUUUAUUGGACGUAAAGCGAGCGCAGGUGGUUUAUUAAGUCUGGUGUAAAAGGCAGUGGCUCAACCAUUGUAUGCAUUGGAAACUGGUAGACUUGAGUGCAGGAGAGGAGAGUGGAAUUCCAUGUGUAGCGGUGAAAUGCGUAGAUAUAUGGAGGAACACCGGUGGCGAAAGCGGCUCUCUGGCCUGUAACUGACACUGAGGCUCGAAAGCGUGGGGAGCAAACAGG